AAAAGAAAAUAACAAUGAUUCCCCUAGUAACUGCGAGUGUAGAGGGACAAGCUCAAAUUUUAAAUCUGUCGGGUUCUACCUGACCGAGUUGUAAUUUGAAGAGGCGUUUUCUGUGUUUCUGAUCAGUCCAAGUCCUUCGGGAUAAGGCAUCACGGAGGGUGAGAAUCCCGUUCGGUUGAUCAGAUCCGCUUUACGAUACGCUUUCAAAGAGUCAAGUUGUUUGGGAUUGCAGCUUAAAAUGGGAGGUAAAUUUCUCCUAAGGCUAAAUAACGGCGAGGGACCGAUAGCGAACAAGUACCGUGAGGGAAAGAUGAAAAGAACUUUGAAAAGAGAGUUAAAUAGUACGUGAAAUUGUUGAAAGGGAAACGAUUGAAGCCAGUCGUACCUGCGGGUAAUCAGCCUUUUGGGCAUGAUUCUGUGGAGCGUGAGGAGUUAAACGCCUUCAUGCCUGCAUAUUCGUGUACUUUGGGUGUGCUUGCCUGUGUGGUUAGUUAACAUCAAUUUUGGUUAUCAUAAAAUGGCCGGAGGAAUGUAGCUUCGAUUUCGAUUGAAGUGUUAUAGCCUUCGGCAGAUGUGAUGAUCGGGAUUGAGGAUUGCAACGGAUACCCUUCGGGGCUACCUGUCUGGUCUCUGAUCGUUGCUCUGGUGCCGAAAGCGUGCUUACGGUUAUCAAAGUCGAUGGUCAAUAGGUUAGAACGGGUUAAAUUCGUUAAGGAUGUUGACGUAAUGGCUUUAAACGACC
rnacentral:rRNA from 1 species